rnacentral:rRNA from 1 species
AUGUAUGAAAACAACUGUGCCAUGAUGUGCUGGAAUGUGCGGGGUCUGAACUCGCCGGCGAAGAGGGAGGUGAUCAGAGAGGUAGCAGACGAGCAUAGGCUAGCCAUUCUCUGCUUGCAAGAAACCAAGCUUGAAACCCGGACGCCCCAGUUGGCCCGCGACGUAGGUGGUAGGAGGUUAGAUGGCUGCAGGGUGCUGCCAGCGAUGGGUACCAGAGGGGGCCUCGCCAUCUUUUGGGACAAGAAGGUGUUGCUGGUCGACUCCCACGCGCUAGGGCAGUUCUCCAUCACCGUUUCUGUUCGUGACAUCGCCUCCUCGACCACGUUC